CCUACGGGUGGCAGCAGUGAGGAAUAUUGGUCAAUGGACGAGAGUCUGAACCAGCCAAGUAGCGUGAAGGAUGACUGCCCUCUGGGUUGUAAACUUCUUUUAUAUGGGAAUAAAACGUUCCACGUGUGGGAUUUUGUAUGUACCAUAUGAAUAAGGAUCGGCUAACUCCGUGCCAGCAGCCGCGGUAAUACGGAGGAUUCGAGCGUUGUCCGGAUUUAUUGGGUUUAAAGGGAGCGUAGGUGGAUUGUUAAGUCAGUUGUGAAAGUUUGCGGCUCAACCGUAAAAUUGCAGUUGAAACUGGCAGUCUUGAGUACAGUAGAGGUGGGCGGAAUUCGUGGUGUAGCGGUGAAAUGCUUAGAUAUCACGAAGAACUCCGAUUGCGAAGGCAGUUCACUGGACUGCAACUGACGCUGAGGCUCGAAAGUGUGGGUAUCAAACAGGAUUAGAUACCCGGGUAGUC
rnacentral:rRNA from 1 species